rnacentral:rRNA from 1 species
UGGGGAAUAUUGCACAAUGGGGGAAACCCUGAUGCAGCGACGCCGCGUGAGCGAAGAAGGUUUUCGAAUCGUAAAGCUCUGUCCUAUGAGAAGAUAAUGACGGUACCAUAGGAGGAAGCCCCGGCUAACUACGUGCCAGCAGCCGCGGUAAUACGUAGGGGGCGAGCGUUGUCCGGAAUUACUGGGCGUAAAGGGUUCGCAGGCGGCAUGGCAAGUCCGAUGUAAAAGGCGAAGGCUCAACCUUCGUAAGCAUCGGAAACUGUCAAGCUUGAGUGAAGGAGAGGCAAGUGGAAUUCCUAGUGUAGCGGUGGAAUGCGUAGAUAUUAGGAGGAAUACCGGUGGCGAAGGCGACUUGCUGGACUUCAACUGACGCUGAGGAACGAAAGCGUGGGUAGCAAACAGG